UGGUCUGCUGGGCGAUGGAGUCACUGGCCUCAAGACGGCCCGUGGCUUGUUGGAAGUGAAGCGGGUCGACACCGCCCAGGCCGUCCA
rnacentral:tRNA from 1 species